CCUACGGGUGGCAGCAGUGAGGAAUAUUGGUCAAUGGCCGGAAGGCUGAACCAGCCAAGCCGCGUGAAGGACGAAGGUGCCAAGCAUUGUAAACUUCUUUUGUCAAGGGACAAAAUCAGGCUCGAGAGCCUGACCGAGGGUACUUGAAGAAAAAGCAUCGGCUAACUCCGUGCCAGCAGCAGCGGUAAUAUGGGGGAUGCGAGCGUUAUCCGGAUUUAUUGGGUUUAAAGGGUGCGUAGUCGGACUGUUAAGUCAGCGGUAAACGGCCGGGGCUCAACCCCGGCGAGCCGUUGAAACUGGCUGUCUUGAGAUUUCUAGAGGUAGGCAGAAUGCGCAGGGUAGCGGUGAAAUGCUUAGAGAUUGCGCAGAAUUCCGAUUGCGAAGGCAGCAUCCCGGCGGCGAUCUGACGCUGAGGCACGAAAGCGUGGGUAUCGAACAGGAUUAGAUACCCCAGUAGUC
rnacentral:rRNA from 1 species